AAUAUUUACUGUGCAAUUCAGUUUAGUUUGAUAUGUAAUAAUUUACUUUAUUUUUAUUUUUUUUUCG
rnacentral:tRNA from 1 species